UUCCCAACAUUUCAUUGCUCCAAACCCCAAACUCUUUGAUUGUGUAAAAGAAACCUCAUAUACACUAAACAGUCCUCAGAAAACUUUAUCCUCCUCCUACCAACUUUAAGCCAACGAGCUGGAAAAAUUAGCCUCUUCAUGUGGCAAUAAAUCUUCAAGGAUUUGUUUCACAUGUCACAUCCUUGGAGAUCCCUUUUUAUUGACGACCUCUUAAAUUACCACUCAACUUACCAAUUUGGCAAUUUGAGUAUACCUCAGUUAAUAAGACACCAGAUUACCAUAGUCGUUUGAUCCCCUACUUCCUGGCCCGGAAACAUUUUUACUCAAUGAAAGAAAAAAAUUCACUACUAACCCAAAAGGUUACCCCAGGAAAUUUGCACAAUACCCAAUGAAUGGGUUUCUCUUUGAUUAGAAAUCUUCACAGUACCCAACGAAUGGUGUAUACAUAUAAUGAAGAAACAAGCCACAUCUCUAAGUAAAGAGACACCAAAUGGCCUAGAACAGCCUAAGAUAAUAGACAAGAGGACAAGUUGGCCUUUCUCUUUGAGUUUACAUAAAGGCCCUCCAAUCUAAGUUGAUGGAAAUAGGAUUGCAAAAUAAGUUUGUGUUAGUCACUUUUUUUUUUAUAAAAUGGAAACAAGUCUCUUCAUUAAGAUAAUGAAAUCAGACUAAUGCUCAAAGCACAAAGAGAGAUACAAUAGUACAAGAGCUAAGGAUCAAAAAGGUGUACUCGAGCAUCUUAACUAGGUUGACAUCUUCUUAGCACCCUCAUCAUAUCCAUAAUUGAUCUAAACAAGCGAAAACUGAAAAACAUGGAAACAAGAACACAAAAUCAAAAUAGAACAAUACAUUGCCCAAAAAAGAAAUUAAGUUGGAAAAAUAAAAGCACACCCAUUUGAACAAAUGUCUUGAAUGGAAAAAUCUUCAAAUUGCUUGGAAAAAGUAUACCAAGGUGCAUUUAUUUGAGCUACUUCAAAACGAUCCAUCCACCCGAGUUGUAUGGUGUGAAACACUUUGAUUCCUUUCAAACCAAAUUUCAUCCCAUAGCGCCUUAAUCACAUUAGCCCAAAUUAACCAAGGGCCUACUUUCAAAACUGAACCAGUGAGGAGUAGCCUAAUAUUAUCCCAAAACUCGACACCAAACCACCAAGCGACACUAAAAAUACUGGACAGACUCCACCAGCACUGAGCAGCAUAGAUGUUGGGUACUGUACAAGGUUACAAAAGUAUUUAAAAAGAGUUAAACUUAUCUGAAAGGUCCUAGCACUUUUUUUCUUUUCAAAUAAGCCAUAAGAUUGCCUUAGAAGGCAUGGUCUCUAGCACUUUGGAUUUUCUAUAAACCACCACCAGAGGGCACCUUCAAAAGCUGAUGUUUGACAGGGUUCAAAGCUUUUAUAAAAAUUUAGACUUGAAAAGACAUGAGCUAUUUUGUUGUAGUACAUCUAAUAAUCCAACCCUCAUAAAGUUUUAGCCUUAAGAAGGUCAAUAACAAAAUGCUUGGACCUACACCAUAUGCAAGUAAAUACACCUUUAGAUGAUAGUUGGUAGAACUGGUGCGUGGUUGGUUCACUGGGCUCAUGUCUUUUGAUGCUUAGUUAUUUUAAGACAAAAGAGUUAAUGCUUGGUGCUUAAGGGAGCAUUUGGGGCAAGGAGUGAAGUUGUUUAAUUUGGAAAGUUGUUAAAUCUAGGAAGUUAUUUAGUUGUGGGCCAAUAGUAACUUAAAACCCUUUGGGCCAAACUGUCUCUGGUCUUUUUUGAAUGUAAGUCUCUGUUUCUUGAAAAUAAAAAAUAGAAAAAGAAAAAAAAAAUCCUCUUUGGGCCAAAGAAGGAACUAACUCCACUCCCCCAACUUCUAGUCCUCGGGUCAAUAUAUGCUCUAACUGAUUAGGAUCUAGCCUUCAAAAUAUAAACCUUCAAAUUUGUGGCUUUAUGUAUGUUGAUGCUUUGGUGACGGUCAAUAGUGAAUAAUAAGAUGUAAUCCUUAUUCCUUAAUCCUUAGAUUGUUGACCAUAGAGCUUUUAAUAUUCCUAGACAAUAUCUGUUAUGCAUUUGAAACUUUAGUUACUGCUUGCAAUCUUGUUCUCCUAAUUGUAUGGUUCCCUUGCUGUUAAGAGUUGUUUCUUAAAAAUAGAACUACUUUCAAACAAAUUUUGCUGUUUGUCUGAAUGCUAGAGCAGAAUGUUGCAGGGAUAAAUUUGAGUCUUGAUGUCUCCAAGUGGUCGCACAUUCUUCAUCUGGACAGGCUCCAGUCAGCUGCAGGUAAAUAAGGCUACUUUCUUUAUCUAAAUGUUUCCUGCAAUGAUGUAAUGACUUGAAAUGCUUUCUUUUAAUGUUGACACAGACCAUUCAUAGAAAACCAGCCUUGUAUUUUGAUAGAAUUGGUUUCGUGGCCUUCAUGCUUAUGAUCAUGGUAAUUGAUCUUUGCUUGGAGAUAAUUAUUUAUCCCCUCUUAGGCUUUCGUUCUACACAUAAGUAGCAUAGGCAAUAUAUGAUAUAUAAUAUAAAUUCCUAUGAAAUGCAUAGACAAGGCUUGAAUACAAGGAAUUCGACCAAAGUUUAGGCCGGGAGAUCAUUGAAAAGCUUAUGAAUGGGCUAGAACCAAGAAAAUAGAGUAGCUAUAAAAAUGUUACGAUCUAGCUGCCAAUAAUUGAUAUUGAAGCAAACAAGAUCUUAUACCUCCCAUGUCCCAACCUCUAUCUCUCUCUUUGUUUUCUUUAUAUCUUUCUUUCUUUCUUCCUUCUUAAUACAUGAAGUUAUAUGAUUCUUCAUUCAAAAUAUUCCAAAAACAGGGGAUGAGAAAGAGGGCACAUCAAUAGGUCAUAAUAUUCCAAACACAUGAAAUUUACAAUUCUUCUUCUUGAGAGUCAUCCUUUUCGUCUUGGGAGGAGGAAUGUGAGGGUUUGGAGCCCUAAUCCUUUGGAGGGGUUCUCGUGUUAGUCUUUCUUUCAGUGUCUAGUUAACCCUUCCCUUGCCGGUGAAUCGGUCUUCUCUUUGGUGUGGAGGGUUAAGGUCCCUAGAAAGGUGAGGUUCUUUACCUGCCAGGUUUUUCAUGACCGUAUUAGUAUGUUGGAUAGACUUUCUAGAAAUAUGCCUUUGUUAGUUGGACCUUUUUGUUGUAUUCUAUGUCAGAAGACAGAGGAAGACUUGGACCAUGUUCUUUGGCAUUGUGAGUUGGCAACCUGUGUUUGGGAUGCCUUUUUACAGACAUUCAGUAUUUCGUAUGCUUGCCAUAGAGAUGUUUGAGUGAUGAUCGAGGAGUUCCUCUUAAAUCCACCACUUGAGGAGAGAUGCCAUUUUCUUUGGCACGCUUGUGUUUGUGCCAUCUUGUGUGUGCUGUGGGAAUAGGAGGAUGUUUGGGGCGGGUUGAAAGGGAGAAUGGUGAAAUUUGGUGUAUUAAACGUUUUCUUGUUUGAUGUUUCUCAUUAGGCUUAGGGUUUAAGUUUAGGGAGUCGACGGAUGUGGCUUCUCUUCUUUCUUUGAUUGAGUGUUUUGAUUUUAGAUUGGGGAGAAGGGAUGUUUGGGUUUGUUUGUAUCCCUAAUUUGGCGGAUGAAUUUUCUUGCAAGUCUUUCUUAAGGAUUUUAAUUGACCCAUCUCCGUGUUUGAGUCGGUCUUUGAUGUUUUAUGGAGGUUAAAGAUUUGUAAGAAAGUCAGGUCCUUUGUCUGGAAAGUCCUGUUUGGCCAUGUGAACUUAAUGGAUAAGUUCUCGGGAAAGCUGCCUUUGUUAACGAGUCAUUUCUGUUGUAUCCUUUGUCGGAAGGGGAAGGAAAGCCUGAAUCAUUUUAUCUAGGAGUGUCUGUAUGGGAGAUCGACUUGGAACCUUUUUUCUUGCAGAAGUUAGAUGUUUUGUUGGCUUGCCAGAGGAACGUUCGCAUGAUGAUUGAGGAAUUACUACUUCACUCUCCUUUCAGAGAGGGAGAGGGCGUUUUCUUUGGUGUGCAGUAUGUUUUGUGAUUUGGGAUAUGUGGAGGGAGAGAAACAACAUAGUAUUUAGGUGUAUGAAGAGGGACCUAGUGAGGUUUGGUCCUUGGGGAGAUUUCAUGUCUCUUUUUGGACUUUCUUUAGUGGGGUUCUCUUUUGGGGCUUGUUUUCUUGGAUGGCCUUGUGUUCUUUCAUUUUUUUUCUCAAUAAAAGCAGUUGUUUCUAUAAAAUAACUGUUUCUCAUUGGGCUCUGAUUUUGAAGAUUUUUUGUAAUUGAUUAGACUUAACUUUGUAUAGUUGGAUCCCCUAAGGGGGGUCCCCUGUCUUUUGUGGCCUUGGUUUUCUGUACGCCCAUGCAUUUUUUCUCCUUUUCUCAAUGAAAGUUGUUUCUACCCCCCCCCCCCCCCCCCCCCCCCCCAAAAAAAAAAAAAAAAAGAAGGAAAAAAGAAAGAAAAGGUCAUAGUCUGAAGCUGCCUAUUCCUUAUUCUGCUUGAAUUUGUCAAGUUUUGUGAAAGGCUCUUAUAUUUUACAAAGAAUGAAAGAACUUUAAAUAAUUGAAAGGUUAAAAACACUUUAUUAAAUUAGCUCCUCAACUUUAUUUUGUUUAUUUAGUUCCUUAACUUUAUUUUGUAAUGUUCAUGUGCUUUCAAGACUUUUACAAUUUCACCUCUAAACUUUACUAAUGUAACAAUUUUGUUCCCAAACUAUAACAUUUGUAACCAAUUAAUCCACAGUGAAACUUUUUAUCAAUGUUAUAUGAUUGUAGGAAUAGUUGGGAAACCUUUGGCUCCAGAAACUGAGGCUUUAUUUGGGAUUGCUUUGGCUGUCAAAAUAAAAUGUAAUAAUAAAUGUAGUAUGAAGUUAACUGGUAUUUGGUACAUUUGGACGUUAAACUCAUAUAGUUUUGAAGAUAGUCCAAUACCUUUCGUAGUCUUUGAAAUUAUGUAUUACUUCAUCGUAUAGUUUGGGAUUGAUUUUGGGAGGGUUAAAAGUGAUUUUUGAAGAAUCUUAACUACUUUUUGUGCUUGGUAAUAUAUUGGAAUUAAAUCUAUUAAAAUCACUUUUAAAACACACAUUCAUUUCAGACCGUUUUAAAAAUUAGUUCCUUUUUAGCUUUUAGAUUCUAAAAAAACAUAUUUCACUUUUUAAUAAAUUUUCAAUGUUCUAAUUUAUACUUCAACAUUAAGAUUUAUUUUAUAUAUUUUGUAUCUUUCUCACAUAACCAAAAUCUAUCUCCUAAUUGUUCAUUAGUUGAAUGUAAAUAAAAUUUUCCAAUUGUACCAUAUUUAUUUUUCUUUAAUGGUAAAACUAUUUUCUUAUACUUAACCGUUUUAAACAAUUAUUUAAAAGAUUAUAAAUGAUGAAAAUAAAAAUACAAAUGUUAAUAAUAGGUUUAUUUUAGUUAUUAUAUAUAAAACAAAAUAAGUUAGUCUUUAAUUACUAAACAUAACUUGUUGAGGUCUAAGAUUGAAAUUUACGAAAUACUAAUUUGCUUCAAUUUACCGCAGAUCUUUCUAAAAGUACAAAAUUAUUUAAAAGCCUCAAAAGUCCCAAACGAAGCUUUUGACGCUAGGAUAAAAUUGAAAUUUAAAAGCAUGUUGGCAAAUACUCUAGAUUUUGGCUAUGUAGCAAUGGAGUUAUUGUACAUAUUGCUGAUGGCCUGUUUUGAUGUCUUUGCUUUGUGUUUUUUUUUUCAGUGCAAUGGCUCGUGAGAAGAAGUAAAAGUUUUGAACCAACAUACUUGUAUACUAGGGAAAAGGUUAUUUAUUUAUCUUUCCCAUCUAUUAUUGUUAUUAUAACUUCGCUAGAUCACUUCUGUUUUCUGAUUUAAAAAUGUAUUAUUUUCGCCUAUUUGAAUUAAUCCUGGUCUCUAGUACUUUUCACUAAAUGCUUUUCUAGUUGCUUGUAUUCCAUUUUUUGGCAAUAAGGUGGUUCAUAUGGUGCAGGGAUACUUUUUAUUACCAGAAGGAGCUAAGUCUAGGCAUAAUAUACAGACAGUGAAUAUAACUAUACCAGCUCAACAUUCAUGCUUUGGAAACAGGUAUAUCUCUUGAUAUGGUGAAUCUACUUUUUGAAUGUGGAAUAUUAUGUUUGUUGAUUCCUGUAGAAAAUAGUUCUAGAUCUCAAAGUACAAUUUAAGAUUUUUAACUCAUUAAUACUGUGAGAUUUUUCAUUUGUUCCUUGCACUUUUAAUGUCUUAAAUCACCGAUUUAACCAAAAAGAAGCUAGUGGAUAAGGGAAAAUUUAAUAUAUUAUCUUAGACUCCUCGGGCAAAUUUAAUAUAAUAUCUAACCGCUUAUCAUAACGGUUCUUUGUUAGUUUUUUUUCUGUCCUUAUACUUUUUUUUUUAGUGCAACUGCUUUGAUUUGAACAAGGUGAGGAAAAAGGGACAUAGUUCGCACUUCAACCUACUCAUUUGAACUUGUUUUCUUUUUCAAAAUUUAAAAUUAAAACAUUAUUGCUUGCUCAAUUAUUUCCAAAUGUGAUUUAGAUUAGUAAUUUUUCACUGAUGUAAAAGAGAGGGCAACUGGAUUUGAGGAUAAUUUGGAAGCCUCCCAAUCUAGAAACUAAGAAGAUGCCAAAAAGAAAGAUCCCAACUUAUCAAAAUGAAAAUAGUAAACAAUUGAUGAGCUGAAGAGCUAAUCUUUGAGGCUUGGAAACAAGGUAAAAAAUUCUCUAGGCUCCCUUGACACCAUCAAGAAUUCUUGGUUCUUUUCAAGCAUAAUUGUCAACAUAUAGCCUUGACUUAUAUUUGCCUCAUUCCCAAAAAGAAAGAGGUGGCCCGUGUCAAUGACUUCAGACCCAUAAGCUUAGUUACCUCCUUGUAUAAAGUUAUCUCCAAGGUGCUUGCAACAAGACUUAAAAAAGUUCUUCCUUCGAUAAUUAAUGAUUCUCAAAUGGCUUUUGUGGAGGGAAGGCAAAUUCUUGAUGCUAUUUUGAUUGCUUCUAAGGCUGUUGACGAGUGGUCUUUAAGAGGCAGAAAAUGCGUUCUUUUGAAGCUUGAUCUGGAGAAAGCUUAUGAUAAGGUGGAUUGGUCUUUUCUUGAUAUGGCCAUGAAACUUAAAGGCUUUGGUAAGAGAUGGAGGAAGUGGAUAUGGGGCUGCUUGUCGACAACUAAUUUUUCCAUCAUUGUCAACGGCAGGCCUAGAGGAAAGAUUCUUGCUAAAAGGGGCAUUCGUCAAGGUGAUCCUCUUGCCCCUUUUCUUUUUACGAUCGUGGGAGAUGCUCUAAGCUGCCUUAUUCACUAUUGUAAUGAGAACAGGAGUCUGAAAGGCUUCCAUUUUGAGAACCUGUCAGAUGAUUUAACCCACCUUAAGUAUGCAGAUGACACUCUUCUUUUUUCUUUCUGGAAGGAUGGAAACUUGGAGACUUGGUGGAAGGUGAUUAAUAUCUUUCUCAUGUGAGCCGGUCUAUCCCUUAAUAGAUCUAAAACUUCCCUGAUCGGUAUUAACCUUAAUAGUGGUGACUUAGCUCCUUAUAGUAACUCUAUGGGGUGCUCGGUUGAUAGUCUUCCCUUUAUCUAUUUGGGAUUUCCUAUUGGAGGGGGUCAUAAUAGAAAAGUGAUGUGGAACACCCUUGAAGAGCGAUUCAGAUAUAAAAUCGAUAGGUGGAGGAAUGUGUCCCUUUCUAAAGGGGGUAGACUAACUCUGGUGCAAUCAGUUCUCAAUAGUCUCCAUUGUUAUUUUUUUCCCUUGCUCAAGCUCCAACUAGUAUUAUCAAUAGAUUGGAAAAGAUGAUCAGGAAGUUUAUUUGGACAGGAGGGCUACGAAUCCAAUUGCCCACCUCGUCAAAUGGGAUUGCACUUCCCCCCGAUCUGUUAUGUUGGUCUUGGGAUUGGCUCGUUUAGGCAAAAGAACAUUGCUCUUCUCACUAAAUGGUUUUGGAAAUUAGUAAGGAAGAAGCCUCCUUAUGGAGGCGUUUAAUUAUGGCCAUUUACGGCUUAGAGGAGAAUGGGUGGUCUACUAAAGAUCCAAACAGGGGAAAAUCUUACAGAUUAUGGGCCGGUAUUUUAAAGCACAAGGAAAUCUUCUUUAAACUUUCAGCUUUUGUUCUGGGAGAAGGAACCAAAAUAAGUUUUUGGAAGGACAAUUGGUGUGCCGCGGAACCACUUGCAGAAAAAUUCCCCAACUUAUUCUCUUUGUCGUUGAAUAAGGAUGUUUAUGUGGCUGAAUGUUGGUGUACUGCUACUCAUUCGUGGAAUUUGGGCCUUAGAAGAAAUAUGUUCGAUAACGAGAUUGCCAAUGUGGCCUCAAUUCUAGAAAUUCUUCGUUCUUGGGCCCCCUCAGAUGGGAUUGAUAGUCUUAAAUGGACUCCUAACGUUAAUGGCAACUUUACUACGAAAUCUACCUUUCUCAACGUAACCAAGAGAUCCCCCUCCAUUGCUGUUCCUUUGAUUCGUCAUAUUUGGAAGAAUAAAAUUCCGAAAAAGAUGAAGUUUUUCUUAUGGCCGCUCGCUUACAGAAACCUUAACACUCAUGAGAAGCUACAAAAAAAAGUUCAGAACACCACGCUAAGCCCCUCGAUGUGUUGUCUUUGCUUCAAAGAAGAAGAAACUUUGGACCAUCUAUUUCUACAGUCUGUUUACUAAAAAAGCUUGGAACACUUUGUUUAGAAUUUUUGACUUGGAGAUUUGUCUUCCUAGUAAGAUUGAUAGCUGGAUGAUUGAAGGACUCAACAUUAGAGGUUAUAGCCCAAAAGGAAACAUCUUAUGGAAAUGUGCGACUCGGUCCCUUUUGUGGUGCAUUUGGAAAGAAAUGAAUAGUAGAAUUUUUUAAGAUAGCUAUAAUUCUGUUGAUUCUUUUUGGACUGUGUUGCAACACACAGCUUCUUGGUGGAGUAUGAAUUACACCAAACACUUUUGUAAUUAUAGCCUUUCAAUGAUUUUCAACAAUUGGAAGGCUAUCAUUUCUUAGUUUCUUCCGGGAAGGGCCCUCUUGUCCCUUGCCCUUAGGUUGUUCUUUUUUGUUAUAUGAAUACACUUGUUUCUUAUAAAAAAAAAAAUCAUUUCUCAUCCCAAAACAAGAUUCAUUUCUUUUGAUUGUAAUUUUGCUUGUCUUAGCAACAUUUUUGUUCUUUCUCGAACUAAAUGGACAUUUUAUGGGGUUAGCUAUGAAUUUUUAAAAUAAGAACUGCCAGGGAAGCAAUUAUUCCAUUAUCACAACCCUAAUAAUAAUGAUAAUGAUGAUUAUUUUUUGGCAGAUGGCAGCAACUUCUAAUAAACAGAUUUGUUGGGUAUGAUACUAUCUUGAUGAACAGCUUACUGACUUUUCCAGGUCAAGGUAAUAACUAUCUGUAUGUAGUUACUUUGUUAUGGUGGAAACUGGAAAAUGUUAUGUUUGCGUUGCAUGUGCUUUACUUGAAAUCACCUGGUUUUCUUUCUCUUCCGCAUCUUCAAUUGGCAUUUUGUAGACUUGUUAAAAUUACCGCAAGUAAUUGAUUUAGUGUAAAGAGUAAUUUUUCAGCUUCAAAAUCUUUUUCAAUCUCUCUCUCUUAAUUAUUAUUAUUCAAAAAAAAAAAACUUUCAUGGUGAUAGAUGAAAGGAUAUACAAGGGCAAUCAUUGUUUAAGCCAGAGUGGUUUUCUUAGGACUAGUUAUGUUUUAUUUAUGAGUUACUAUGAUUUAUCUGUAACCUUAAACGAGUGACCAACCUCAGCAUAGCUCAAUUAUCACUAUUGUUUUGUUUACAUAGGAGGAUGUAUACUAUCAUUUGCAUCUCCAGCUAAGUUUAGAUUUGUUUCAGGCUAUCUUUACAAUUACCAAACGAAAGAGUUCUACAAUCUUAGCUAUGCAUUUGAGCCGCCAGAGGGCCCUGCCAGAUUUGGAGGUUUGUUGAUUUUUCCUUUUUUUACUGCAUUGUGAUACGAUCCUUUUAUAUGAUGAUUUAAUAGCUGAAGGUUUAUGUUUAUUCACUAUAAUUCUCCAUGUGUUUAUUGUUCUUGCGGUUUAUUAAGUAGAGUUUAGGUUCGAAAUUGUGUCCUUUCUAAACAAACUUUUACCAUUCAACCAUUAAGGUUUCAAGUCUGUUCUCAACUUUUUUUUUUGAACAAGAAACAAAAUUCUGUUCUUAGUUUAAAUUUUUACAGGUCUGUUCUGCUACUAGGACUUUUUCUAUCCUCUUUAAUACGUGUGCAUUAUUUUAGUUACAUAUAAAUUUUGAUUAUGAAGGCUGACCUUUUCUGUUUCACACUUUUGGGGCUUGUUUUUUGUAAGCCCUUGUUCAUUUUGUCCAAAUAUCUGUUCUCACACCCUGUUUCCAUUCAGACUACUUCGUGACCAAGUGUGGUGUGCUCAUGAUGUCUCUCUUCGUUUUCUUCACUACCACCAUGUCGGUGUCAUUUACAUUGAGGGAAACACAGACUCGCAUGUUGAAGUUUACAGGUUCCUUUCUUUCAUUUGCUUUAUGAACUUAUGGCUAUCUGUAAAGUUCUGUUUCCCUGUUCUGCUUUAUAGCUUCAUGUGCGGCAUGCUCUAAUGGAUGCCUACAACUACAUUUUAUUUAGGGAGAUCUCCUAUCUACUGCCUGCAUAUGAGCCUCAAUAUGUUUAUGUUGCUCCUCCACCAUUGUUUUCUAUACAAAGUAUAAUGGUAGACUGUCAGUUAUGGUGGCGUACUAGACAUACAUAAUACACUGAUUCAGUGCACUUUCCAUCUCAUGGUGCCACGUGCAUAGCCACUGAUUAUAUAUAUAUUUAGAAUAAAAAAAUGUGAUUAAAUGUUGCAACUCUGUUGAACUACAGACGUAGGGAUUUUGUAGGUAGGGUCAUCAUUCAUUAGAAAUGGUGGCAUUAGAUAAAAUUCUUGGUACAAGACUUGAGUUAUAUCAAAGUUUUCUUUUGCUGCUCGUAGUAAAAUGGUUGAUUGAGUGGAGCUUGUUCUGCAUCCAACGGAUCACAUCUUAAAUAUUUUUUAGACACAUUCAUAUGGCUGGAUUCUGAGAUAUCUGGUCUGCUGGCAUGGUUAAUGAAUAUGUCCAUCCACUCUUACAUAUAUAGUAGAGCUAGGAAGGCUGCAUUAAUUAUCUUCAAAUAUAAUGGCUUUAGUCUUGUUUUUAAUUUCUGCAGUGCAGCUUCAACACCAUGCUCGACAUCAACUCCCAACUUUUCAGUUGAUCUUUGUGCAUGUAAUCGAGUCACUUGUCUUUGUUCCAGUAAGCACUCCAGAUUGUUGCUUUACUAUUGAUAUGUACGCCUGCUUAUAUUUCUAGAUUUGUUUUACUUUUUGGUGGUCCUACGGAGGAUUUUCUUGUUAACAGUCUAUUGUUUCGUUUGCAGAUUAUGAUUGGUAUACUAUUUUUUCUGUUUGAGUUUUAUGACGAUCAGCUCUUGGCUUUCAUGGUCUUGAUCCUGGUGUGGUUAAGUGAAUUAUUUACACUAAUUAGGUCUCUCUCUCGCUCUCACUCUCUCUCUCUCUCACAUAGCACACACUGUAGAUAUCUCCUGUAAAAUGACAACUGAUUUUUUAUUAUAAAAUCAACUUAAUGUUAUUGAAAGAAAAUGAAAGAAUACGAGUGCUUGCAAAAAACAAACCUACAACAACCCCACUAGAGAGAGAGUUUCCACCUAAAUUGGAAUAAUGAUGAAUAUUAUUUACCGCCUCCAAGGAAAAAAAUAACACAUUUGGGGUGUUUGGCUCAACUUCAAGUGAAUGCUCCAUAUUUGGGACUUCAAUUAUA
rnacentral:lncRNA from 1 species